CUUCGCGACACGCUCUCAGCCAAUGGCCGCCGCGCGCCUCCCCUGUCGCUAAGGGAGGGAAAUACAGCGCGGGGCGCGGGCUGUCAGGUGCGCCCGGCGGUGCGGCAGCCGCGGGCGGGAAGCGGGCACAGGGAUGUUGCGUUUUUUCCCCCCUUCUUUCCCUUAAUCCUUCACCACGUCUAACCCCCAACCCCUCCUCCUCACCACGGGAGCUGAUGAGCGGCCACGGAGCGGGAGCGGGCCGGGACGGGCUGCCCGGCAGCCGCAGCCGAGGAGGAUGCCUUGGGUGAUUCAGAAAUGAGCAGUGGGAGCGCUCGGUGAUUUUCACAGGAGGAAGACAGCAGCCAGCAAGGCCCCGGCUCCCUGCCAUCUUGAGCCCUUCCUGGUGAUUUGCAGCAGCACAGAUAAGUACGGAGCACUGAGGACUGAAGUCAGCGUUUGGACCUGACUUUAUUUUAGUGUAAAUGACCACACAGGAUUCAUACCGACGGAGAUACAGGAGUAAAAUAGCAGAAGUACAUAAAUGCCUCUUCUAAAAGUGCAGUUUUGAGUAUUUAAAGGUUGAAGGGAUAUAUAGAAAAGAGUCCUCUCCACAUGUGUUUAUGUUUACGUGUCCUAACAGAAGGUGACGCAUUAUCUUACAUGCCAGGUAUGUUUUGAAUAAAUCUGUAUCACCCUAUUGAUUUCAAGGGGACUGUAUUGAUUGAAGUUAGUGAAGGAACUAACCCAGCUAAGUCUUAAAUAAUUGCAACGAUAUCUCUGUCUCUUUCAGUCAGAUUUGCCCUUCGUGUUUAGUUGUUUCAUAAUCCUGCAGUUCUCCAUUUCAUCACUGCAAGACCAGAGUCUGUAUUAUAAAGACUGAAAAGGCAAAAACCUACCACCUUAAAAAGCAGUUCUUUCAUAUUCCAAUCUUUAUUUCCCUGCUAAAAAAAAACUUAAGGCACAAAAGCUCUCCCUAUUUAUUUAUUUUUUUUAACAAGCCAAUUUAGUUUCAUUUACUCACACCGAUAUUUUUAUACAGCCAAAAGCUCUUAGAAGGAGAACGUGUUCAAUACACCAGAACCCUUAAGGAUUUUGAUAAAAGAUAUCAUGAGUAACAUCUCCACUUCUGUUAUUUAUUUUUUAUAUAGUAGCGACAAGAUUGAAUCACCAUUUUUAGCUAUUCUUCAGCAGAACUCGUAAUCUAUCAAUGUGUCAGCUCAACAGCAGUUUUCUCUUCACACUAAUGUGAACCAGAAGGUCCAGCUAUCAUAGAUUUUGACAAUUUUAUCUGAGGUUGCAUACAUUGCAGAAUUUGGAAGAAAAUGAUUUGCAGGACCUAGUAUGUUUUUCUAAGCACGUACAACACGUAAAGCACGUCCUCAAAAACAUUUUAAACUCACUUUACGGGAUCACGUUCCUAAGUUAGGUGUUUCAUAAGCAUUAGGUUAUAAGCACACUAAAAUAACGUGUAAAAUCAUAUGUGUUUCCCCGUAUCUUUUUAAAUGUCUCACAUUGCCCUCUAUGUUGUUACAUAAUGCAUCAUAAAGAAAUACGUGCCUUCAUUCUCUUUAAAUCGCUCUGGCAUGGACAGUGCUAAGCUUUCCUUCAAGUCCUUGUUAUGCAAGUCCUUGCUACUGUUAAUAGCUGUCAGCUCCGUGUGGUUAGUUAAAAAAAAAGGUAACCACGGACUUUGUGAAGCUCAUUGCAUUGCUGGAAUUCACACUGACUCAGUUCCAGGUGCUUUGCUCCCCUUCUCGGCUAUAAAUUGAAUUAUUAUGAGCAAACAGGUUUUUCUCCAUUAAAAGAAAGUCCCAUUCAUUCCACUGCAUCACAAGCUAAUCUGCUUUUUGUUUAGUUGUGCCUAUAAGCGUAUUGUGUUAUGAGUAUCCGGAUGCACUUCUGCAUUGUUAAAUCACAGUGAAAUAGACUAGAAUGCAGUAAUAUGUUGAAAGUUUGUAAAACAAAAUGCAGAUGUAUAACUAAGUUCUGAAAAACACCGAGCACAGUAAAAAUUCACGG